AACCAGAGAGAGAGAGAGAGAGAGAGAGAGAGAGAGAAGAACCAACAGCCCGUCUGGAUGCUCUGCUCGUGACGUCAUCACAAGGAGUGGCACAGACAGAGAGGGGGAGGCCUCCGUCAUCUUUAUAUAUCGCGUUACCAAAUAAUGCGGAUGGAUUGUAAAGUCUAUGUGGGCAACCUUGGCAACAAUGCCGCUAAACACGAGCUGGAGUCCGCCUUCACAAAGUACGGGCCGCUGGUGAACGUGUGGGUAGCUCGCAAUCCCCCGGGUUUCGCCUUCGUGGAGUUUGAGGACCCCAGAGACGCAGAGGAUGCUGUGAGGGCGCUGGAUGGCACGAGACUGUGUGGUGUGAGGGUUAGAGUUGAGAUGUCCACAGGGCGGUCACGCAGAGACCGCUACCGCUCCCCACCACGCAGAGGAGGGAGCCGCAGAUCAAGGACUAUCUCGCCCAAAUUACUUCUUGUUCCACCACCACCACCACCACCAUCUACUCCUCCUACUGUUGCUACCACACCACCACCACCAACUCCACCACAACCACCACCACCACCACCACCACAAGUACUUCCACCACCAUCACCACCACCACUCCUAGCAUCAGCAUCAGCCUCUUUGUCCAGUGGACUGCCACUAUUGGGUUGUUGGGGUGGAUGGAGGUUCCUCUGGGCACUCUGUCCACUCCCAACCUGAUCCCACACUGGCACAGCCUUGAUAGCCUGAGUCCGACGCCUACACACAGUCCAGUUGGUGUGCCCCACCAGGGAGCACUCGGGCUGGACUGUGGGGCGCUAACGUAGCCAGUGCUGGAUCUCCUGAUGCUCUGAGGCUUGGCGGAGGUGGUGGUGAGCGGCACGUUGCCUGAUGGCCCUCCUACGGCGCGGCACCUCGUGGCACCCGGGCAGCCCUUAUGCGCUUCACGUGUCCUCUUCUCCCCGCCCGUCUACGUCUACCCUCCGCCCACUGCCCGCCCAUCGCCCGCCCGCAGCCUGCGCACCAUCAGGCCUGCCCCCCCACCCACCAUCUUGGGUCCUUGACCCUCCAACGCUCGCUCCACUUUCUUACAUUCAUCGCGCCUCGUCUCACCAUAACGCCUACCCUGCUGUGACGGUCCCGGAGCCCUAGAAGGUUUGGCCGGUCCCGCUCUCGGUCACCAAGACGCUCCCGGUCCCGCUCCCCCAGGUCUGUUUCAAGGUCCCCAAGGUAUGACGACUACCGCAGGCGAAGUGACUCUCCAGAUUUCAGAAGACGAUCCCGUUCUAGAUCAUAAGG
rnacentral:misc_RNA from 1 species